AGCCCGUUUGUUCUCUUUGAGCUACAGGAUUUUGAAUAGAACAGAAAGCUGCAGCCCAAAUAUAUUUCAUAUUUUUAUUCUCUUCAGACUGGUGGAGGGUCAUCAUGGUGUCUGUGGGUUUAGCAGCACUCAUAAUAACUGUUGUGGUGGUCAACAUAUGGAUGAGAACUAAAGGAAACAGAACCCAGAUGGAUGGCAAUGCUGAGCAUCGUGAUGAAGAUGAAGGUACAGUGACCUAUGAAAACGCUGGAGAACCUUCUGCUUCUAUCAGACUCCACUGAUCAACAACUUCAACAUCAACUCACCAGAAAAAGAGAAAAACUCUAACAUCAUUUUGAGUCGUAUCUAAAAACUGAAGUGUAACUUGCAGUUUAACAAUGACGUCUUGAUGUUAGGAUUUGACUCAUUGCUUUUAAAGGUAAAGCUUUGCUCAAGUUUUUAAAUAUAUGUGUAUAUAUGUAUUACAAAUUAAGAUGAGAGAAAAUGUAUUGUCAUCCUUUUAUAUACAAUGCAGUAGCCUAGAAAUCUAGAUGCACGCUAGCGGCAGCAAAUAUAAUCUGCAGCCAGGGUCAGUCUAGCAACUCUCCGUUGGCUUGCGAGCUGGAAAAACCAAAUUCUGGCCGGGCCAAUCACAUCGUGUAUAGAGUCAGUGGGCGGGCUUAUUGCUGGCGAACAGCAUAAUCUUUUGUUUGAGAAAAGAACAAAGAACGACACUGAAGUCAUUCUUAAAAAAGGAAGAUGUGUUCGGAGUUUUGCCGACCGGA